rnacentral:rRNA from 1 species
AUGCUUCUGAUGCUUAUUGCACCACAUGUGUUUUUUAUUGAACAAAUUUCUUUGGUGGCGGGAGCAAUCCUACCGCCAGAGGUUAUAACUAAACCAAACUUUUUAUUUACAGUCAAACUUGAUUUAUUAUUACAAUAGUCAAAACUUUCAACAACGGAUCUCUUGGUUCUCGCAUCGAUGAAGAACGCAGCGAAAUGCGAUACGUAAUAUGAAUUGCAGAUAUUCGUGAAUCAUCGAAUCUUUGAACGCACAUUGCGCCCUUUGGUAUUCCAAAGGGCAUGCCUGUUUGAGCGUCAUUUCUCCCUCAAACCCCCGGGUUUGGUGUUGAGCAAUACGCUAGGUUUGUUUGAAAGAAUUUAACGUGGAAACUUAUUUUAAGCGACUUAGGUUUAUCCAAAAACGCUUAUUUUGCUAGUGGCCACCACAAUUUAUUUCAUAACUUUGACCUCAAAUCAGGUAGGACUACCCGCUGAACUUAAGCAUAUCAUAAGGCGGAGGAAA